CCCAACCAAUCUCAAUUUAAUUCAAACAAUUUAUUGUCAUUAUGUAGCACAACGAGAUUACUUUGUGACAGCCCACGGGUGCGCUAAAAGUUAUAAAAUA